AUUGAACGCUGGCGGCGUGCUUAACACAUGCAAGUCGAACGGCAGCACGGGUGCUUGCACCUGGUGGCGAGUGGCGAACGGGUGAGUAAUACAUCGGAACGUACCUUAUCGUGGGGGAUAACGCAGCGAAAGUUGCGCUAAUACCGCAUACGCCCUGAGGGGGAAAGCGGGGGACCGUAAGGCCUCGCGCGAUUAGAGCGGCCGAUGUCUGAUUAGCUUGUUGGUGAGGUAAAAGCUCACCAAGGCGAUGAUCAGUAGCUGGUCUGAGAGGACGAUCAGCCACACUGGGACUGAGACACGGCCCAGACUCCUACGGGAGGCAGCAGUGGGGAAUUUUGGACAAUGGGGGCAACCCUGAUCCAGCAAUGCCGCGUGAGUGAAGAAGGCCUUCGGGUUGUAAAGCUCUUUUGUCAGGGAAGAAACAGCAGCUCUAACACAGUCUGCGAAUGACGGUACCUGAAGAAUAAGCACCGGCUAACUACGCGCCAGCCGCCGCCGUAA
rnacentral:rRNA from 1 species